rnacentral:rRNA from 1 species
AUUGAACGCUGGCGGCAUGCCUUACACAUGCAAAUCGAACGGUAGAGGGGGCAACCCCUUGAGAGUGGCGAACGGGUGAGUAAUGCAUCGGAACGUGCCCAGUCGUGGGGGAUAGCCCGGGGAAACCCGGAUUAAUACCGCAUACGACCUGAGGGUGAAAGCGGGGGACCGAAAGGCCUCGCGCGAUUGGAGCGGCCGAUGUCGGAUUAGGUAGUUGGUGGGGUAAAGGCCUACCAAGCCUGCGAUCCGUAGCUGGUCUGAGAGGACGACCAGCCACACUGGGACUGAGACACGGCCCAGACUCCUACGGGAGGCAGCAGUGGGGAAUUUUGGACAAUGGGCGCAAGCCUGAUCCAGCCAUGCCGCGUGCGGGAAGAAGGCCUUCGGGUUGUAAACCGCUUUUGUCAGGGAAGAAAUCUCUUGGGUUAAUACCUCAAGUGGAUGAUGGUACCGGAAUAAGAAGCACCGGCUAACUACGUGCCAGCCGCCGCCGUAA